rnacentral:lncRNA from 1 species
UUGAAAAAAGAUAAUUUUGAUGAGAUUAAUUAUGCAUUAAAUUAUAUAUAUAUAUAGAGAGAGAGAGUCCGACUACUACACUCUUAUAAGUACUAUUGUCUUUGUACUCAUAAGUUAUUUUCAAUGAUAGAGCUUUCGAAUCGACAAUCCAUACCGUUAAACGUUCUUUAGAAUAUUUAAAACUUCUAAAAAUACUCUUAAAAGUAUUUUUUUUUUCUUUUAAGAGUAAAAAUAAGAAAGUCGACAAUUUUCCAAGUGAAUAUAAGCAAUUGCCUCUUAAAUAUACAUUAAACUU